rnacentral:miRNA from 1 species
CAGGGAGGGAUAAAGACCAGU